CUAAAAUAUAUAUAUUUUUCCAUUAGAACUGGUCUGCUCUCUUUAUGAGGCGAACAUGGAAAAAGUUCCUGUUCGAGCUGCACGCAGUGUGUGUACUUUUUGAGUAACUGUGAUGAGUGAGUCAGUGUUUGGAUGCAAAGGUCUCUCUGUGUCUCAGAGCAGGAGCCUGUACCUUUAAGACUUGUCUGUGAAUUACAAGUUAUUUUCUGGAUCCGGGGUAGAGGGCGUUUUCCCUGGACAACAGGAAAAACCGAGGGCUGGAUGCAAAAGGCUGAGGAAGAGAGAGAGAAGAUAUUAAUAAAUAAC